rnacentral:rRNA from 1 species
GACGAACGCUGGCGGCGUGCUUAACACAUGCAAGUCGAACGGACAGGCCCUGCUUUUGCGGGGUGCUCGAGUGGCGAACGGGUGAGUAACACGUGUGUAACCUGCACUUGUCUUUGGGAUAACUUCUGGAAACUGGGGCUAUUACCGGAUAGGAGCUCCUGCUGCAUGGUGGGGGUUGGAGAGUUUCGGCGGUUGUGGAUGGACUCGCGGCUUAUCAGCUUGUUGGUGGGGUAGUGGCUGACCAAGGCUUUGACGGGUAGCCGGCCUGAGAGGGUGACCGGGCACAUGGGGACUGCGGUAGGGCCCAGACUCCUACGGGACGCAGCAGUGGGGAAUAUUGCGCAACGGGCGGACGCCUGAUGCAGCAACGCCGCGUGCGGGAUGACGGCCUUCGAGUUAUGAACAGCUUUCGCCUGAGACGAAGCGUGCGUGACGGUAAUGAGUAAAGAAGCACCGGCUAACUACGUG